rnacentral:lncRNA from 1 species
GUGGGAAAAAAAAAAUUAGGAAAUAAAUAUAUACAAAUAAAAUAAUAAAUUAAAAAGUAAAAUAAUUAGUAAAUAAUAUAAGAACAAAAGAUCAAGUAAAAUAAAUAUUAAUGGUAGAGAAAGAAGUGAAAAAAGAAACAAGGUCUAAAGAGGAGAUUAUAGAAAGCAUAUUAAAAUUACAGAAUGAAAUAUCAGGUAGGUUUUAAAAAUAUACAACAGAAAUAAUAUACAAACAAAUAAGUAAUUUAAUAUAUAAAAACAAAUUU